rnacentral:rRNA from 1 species
UACUCCUACGGGAGGCAGCAGCAAGGAAUUUUCCACAAUGGGCGCCAGCCUGAUGGAGCAACGCCGCGUGGGGGAUGACGCGUUUCGGCGUGUAAACCCCUUUUCCGAGGGACGAAACGAAUGACGGUACCUCGGGAAUAAGGUCCGGCUAACUACGUG